GACGAACGCUGGCGGCGUGCUUAACACAUGCAAGUCGAACGGAAAGGCCCUGCUUUUGUGGGGUGCUCGAGUGGCGAACGGGUGAGUAACACGUGAGUAACCUGCCCUUGACUUUGGGAUAACUUCAGGAAACUGGGGCUAAUACCGGAUAGGAGCUCCUGCUGCAUGGUGGGGGUUGGAAAGUUUCGGCGGUUGGGGAUGGACUCGCGGCUUAUCAGCUUGUUGGUGGGGUAGUGGCUUACCAAGGCUUUGACGGGUAGCCGGCCUGAGAGGGUGACCGGCCACAUUGGGACUGAGAUACGGCCCAGACUCCUACGGGAGGCAGCAGUGGGGAAUGUUGCACAAUGGGCGGAAGCCUGAUGCAGCAACGCCGCGUGCGGGAUGACGGCAUUCGGGUUGUAAACCGCUUUCGCCUGUGACGAAGCGUGAGUGACGGUAAUGGGUAAAGAAGCACCGGCUAACUACGUG
rnacentral:rRNA from 1 species